AAGUUUCCUUGAAUUAAGAUUAACUUAAUGCUCUCAAUAAAAACUGCUCUCUUAUCUAAAGGCGAGUGCAAAAUAAAGAAUUUUAUGGUAAAUUCAUAAAAAAUGUAAGGUAUUAAGAAAAUUUUGGUGAUGUAGGUCACAAAUAAAAGAAACAUGUAUUCUAGUGGUAGCCUGCAUGGCCAAUGUCAUUGUAAGACUCAUUUUACAUGAUGAAGCGUUGAGUGGUGGAAUAGAGAAGUACAGCUGUGAUUGCAAUUCACAAAGCUGGCACAUAUUAUGAGUGGCUGCCGGAGAAGAGGUAUAUAAGAUCCAUACGUGUGUGGGAAUACAUUUAAAUGAGACAGCGCAGACCGAAACCUUAUUUUUCGAUCAUGGCACUAUUGUUGGUUGCGCAUCAGUCAAAGAACAAAAUUAUUCCACUAGUCUCUCAGAAGACCUUUAGUCUUAAUCCCUGUGUACAUGCCACUGAUUGUUGCGUCGCUCUCUUUUCUAUUCAUGCCCCUUGAACAUUUGCGUUCAGUUUUCUGCAAUUCUACGUCAACUCACUUUUGGAACCCUUUAGUUGCUCCAGUUCUCUUUUAGUUUUAGACCAACAUUUCUGACUACUUGUAAGUUAGUGUUCACAAGGUUUCCAACAAGAUCCUAACAAUUGUUCUCCUGUGGCUAACUGCAUUUUUUGAUCAAUGAGUCAGAACAUGUCCUCCCUGUUUGACUGACAGACUGUUGGGGGAGGAAGGUGGUCCCCAAAGAGUGGUUUUGUUUACAUCUACAUAUUUCCAGAAUGCUGCAGGCUUACAAAGAUGGUGGAAACCAGCAGUGAUCCAGAAUUAAUUAUGAUAUCGUGCUACAGUAAUCAGUUUAAUAUGGACGUAAUUGUGAGAGGAUUUUUUCAUUAUUGCGGUUUACAUGUGUUGAUCCAAAACCAGGUUAUUGGAGAAUCUAAUCCUCUGGCAUGCACACACGGCCGCGUGCCUAGAGCUGAGGCCAUUAGCGCUAGGCUAGCGCUUGUUGAACAAAAAGCAACAAAUAUUGUAAUCUCAACAAAAAUUAUUUAGUUGUGUGUUGCAGCCGCAACCUUGACAGUAAACACUGCUGGCUGAAAUAAAAUGAGAGCUGUCAGGUGGACUCAAGUAAACAACAUACUUGCGAAAUAACACCCUCUCUGGCCGCGGCUAGGUGAGGUGGAGAGGACCCCAGUCCUGUUGAUGUCAUGCAGUUAGAGGGAGCUCCUUCGCCACCAGGUGUGGAAUACUGAUUCUAUAUAGACACAACUUGUAGGUGACUGUUAUGGCCUUUUUGGAACUCUUACGGUUACCAGCUAUAAGAUCAAACACCACUGGGUUAGUAGUGUGAAAAAAGUGUUAUAGAAUGAACUACUAUGGAUUACAGGAACGAGAUGUAAUAGCUCGAUACCUUUUAAAAAACAUCAGCCUUUUUACCAUGUCUAAAACAGCCCUCCACAGAGUGACUUGUUUUGAGUGCCUGUUCCUUUAAAUGCUAAUGAGCCAGCUCCACCCUUCCCCCUCCCCGAGUGUAGCCGUCCUGGAGCCACCGCUCGCCGAGAGAGACUCGGCGUCCUCUCUCUGCUCGAGUCUCUCCCUCCUGCUCACUGUUUUAUACAAGGGAGACAAUCAGUCCAGACGUUGAUGAGCUGUGCUAAUUAAUUCUCUGCCGGCCCCGUUCCCUGAACCACUCCCCCGCUCGCUCCCCUGUGCAGCUGAGCUACCCACAAAACCAACUGAAGUGCUUUAUCGUAUCUAUAGUGAGUGUAGAGGGGUGUAAGGCCAUAUAAGAGACUCCCAUUACAUUGUGACGACACAAUUACACGGAACCUCGAUCUCAGUCACUCAAGCACGACAUUUCUGAAUUACAAGAACCAUAACAAAUAGCGGAAGUGUUUUUUUUGGGGGGUCGGUAGACGUGCUCUAGGAAAGUCAUUGGAAGAUGACUCAAAAACAUUGUUGUCCUUGCAGUAAAUGGGGACUAGAGUAGACCAGGCAACAGGGUUAGAGAAGGGCAGGGCAGGGCCACAGGAGGUUAGUAAAUUAAGUUUUACUCAUCCCCAAGAGGAAAUUCUCCUCAUUUGACCCAUCAGCUUGCUUUGACUGGGGACUGACUGCAGCUCUGGGACUACUGCCUUGGUCAAGGGCAAGAGCGAACUUUGUCUCAACAGGGCAUAAUAAGGUUAUUUCUAAACAUGGCAUUGGGAUGCCGAGGGCCAGGGCAGGACCCGGGGUAGAAAAGAGCACUUCCAGUAAGUGUUUUCUGAUGAAAAUUUUUGUUAAAAUUAGGGAGGCUGUUCCUUUCUUCAGACAUAUUAUAAACAACAUGAGGAAAACACAUUUGAGGACUUUGGUAGAUUAUUUUUUAAGUAUGCUUGGUAGGUUUUGCUACUUCGCCUCUGCUUGAACAAUUUCACACAAAGGGACAUUUUCAUGCCGCUUUUAAAUGUUAAUUUGACAUUGCCUGAAACCAAACCGAACCUAUUUGUUUGUGCCCGCAAAAUAGAAAUAAUUGAAUUGGAUAAUUGACACACCCUCACUUAGACAGCCUGCCUGCACCAGCUGCCACUGAUUAGAUUUAUUAAUCUCAAAAAGUACAUCAUUGCCUCAAGACUUAUAGUAGCACAACUAGAUGGGUGACAAAAUUCCUUAUUUUUUGAGUGGGCAUUGUGCUAAUAAACAGUGAAAUUGGUCAUCGACUCAAACAAGGACAAACUAUCAUGUGCCACUUGUGAUGGUGAGAACACCUGCCGUCCUUGACAUCAGGUUGAUAAUGUUUGGUCAUAUUACACCCUUCCCAAUCCAUAAAAGUCCAUGAAUAGUGAAGGUGUCCGUUGUCAAAUAGAUGAUGAUAAUCAGUAGUUCAGCGACCCUGAAUAGAUGAGUAUUUGACCAACUAAAGAGAGUCAACUGCCGAUGAAACAAAGCUCUAGUACUUCACUAUAUUGGGUUUCAAAAACUAAUUGGUAGCGUAAUUACAUCUGAAAGUCAAUGCUCUAGAAUAGGGGUGCGCACACUUUUCCAGCUUGCAUGUCAAGUCAUGGCGAUCUACCCAGGAGACCCCCUCAACAUUUAGCGACAAUGAGCCUAACAUGGCCACUUUGAUACACACUGUACCAGUAACUUUAUAAAAUGUCAAUUUAAAGAUCAUUUUGCCGUUGAGGGUUGCAGCUGCCGGGAGCGUGGGGAUGAACCCUGACAGAUGAGCAGGCCGCGGAAACUAUGCACCGACUUAAUUGAAAUAGCUUACAGGCUAUAUUCCAACAAAACAGGCAGCAAAACAGCAGGCAAGGACUCUGGAACUGGAACAUAAAUCCCGGACGGAAAAGAAGGUGAAACAGACAUCUGGGAGGAAAAGGUUCCUAACUGAAAUUACCCAGAAGAAUCUAACGUGAUCCGAGCUGCUGGAAUCCUCUAAAUGAGAAGGAAAGGAGCCCCCAUGCUCCCUGUUUUAUCUCCUUGGCAUAGGAGACACUGAACCACCCUUUAUGAAAGGACAGGAGAUAAUGACUUCCCACAAUCCCUUGCAGGGGCUACAUAUAAAGAGACGCGAUAUUCAGCCAUCUAUGAAAUCAAAUGAUAUGCCUCUUCUUUACAGAUGGAAAAGUAUUUCCAUAAUAUAUAUAAUAGUAUUAGUAAUGGGAUUCAUGUUUAUAAAUAUUAGUAGAAAACUAUUUUGUUUUAUAUACUAUUUAUUAAUUUUGAAAGAAUAACAAUAUUAAAAAUUAAAAAAAAAGAACAGCAUUUAACAAUGUAAUCAUAAUGUAAAAAUAUUACAUCCUUGAGAAGAAAUAUGAAGAAAUACACACUGAUAUGCUCCCACCCUUUCAAUAACUUCAUUAAGUUAUUCAUUAAAUAAACUUUUUUUUUUUAUUUAAGUUCCAGCCGAGGUAGUAAGAAUUUUCACCAGUGGGAAUAUGUUUAAAAUGGGUUUAGGAGGACAAAGGGAACAGUGCUAUUCCCAUCAGUUAAACCAAACAGGCUGGACCAAUAAUACACGCAUCAUCUACGGAGAUGGAUAUAUUGAUAUCUAUAUUGCACAUGAGUGUAAUAUCAGUGUUGGUUGUGAAGUAUGACGUCAGGAAGGACCUGCAUAUCUCUGCAUCACUCACUCAAGGGACGGCAGGGGCUGUUUACAUGGUCUGCAUGUAUCAACACCGUCAGAAAGUACAGACCGAGGGGGGAGAAGCACAACCCCUCCAGAAUUUUGAGUAAUUUCCAUUGAGCUCAAGGGAAAAGUAGAGAUGUCAUUCAGCAGCAGCACAAGAAUUAACGUGAUGAAACAACGAGACAUAGGGGCAGCCUGAAAGCUAAUGGUAUAAACAAGAGGAACAUUUCCUGUGUAGAUCCUCCUUGAUUCUUCUCCUCGCCCUGUCGCCUUGCAUCUUAGUCCCGCGAGAGAUGUAAGCCGGGGAGGCACGGCAAGGGGUGUUAAACAGAUGACAUAUCCUCGCCUCGGAGCGUCAUUUAAAAGAGAUGUCAAUUAAAUAUGAAGAGCGUCACAGCUGAUCAGCUGUCCGUUGUUUAGUCAUACCUCUCUAUUUCAUCUUCUUUGUCAGAUGGGCAGGCAUGUUAUGUUGACUAUUAAUUCCAUGACAAUGUGGCACAAUGUGACAGGAACCAUCAAAUGUCACAAGGUUUUUAUUAAGACAGUCACACACACACAUAUAUGUGGUGGACUUUGUAUAUUUUGUUGUGUGUAGCUGCAGGUGUUUUUACAGAAGAUGCUAUUCCGACAUGACUGAUUUGAUUACAUUCAUACAAUAUAGUCCUAUUUAUUUGACAACAUAAAAGAAAGUUGACAAUCAUUUUACAUCCACUACUGAUUGCUCUUGUAAGCAUCAUGUUGGGAUUUUAGCAGUUGAAUUGGAAGUCGCUUACCUUCAAUAUAAGAACAAAAUCAAUGAAGGUAAUUUGUGGUUAAAACAGAGAGGAAUUGGAAGUGUUGCAUUUGAGUCCGGCUGUGGUUUUAGAUUGUCACAGGUUGGUGACACGCCUCUUCUAUAUGUUUUAUAAGUGUGCCAAAACCCCUUCUACAAAGGACAGACUGGUGUAAUGCUUCAGCUCCUCUGGCAAGCCUCCUUACACAUAGUUCAUUGUCCUUCAAGGUGGAGCCUUGAACUCUGUUUCCAGGUCACAGGAUCAGCUUGAAAAAUGGCACAAAAUCUGGAAAUGAAAACGAUCUUUAUUUAAUUAAGCACAGUUGAUGGAGAGCUUCAAGGAGGGAAAACCACACAAGGUUACAAACUCUGACAUUGGCAAAAAAUAGACUACGUUUUAAGUAUUUUGAAACCUUGUUUUUAAUAUGUUUUUAAACGUUUUUUUUGGGAGGAAAACAUGUAAGCCUUUCUUCCAGGUCAAAUAUAACAAGCGGUUCUGACCUGCAAAAGUGAGCGGGAGCAGCUUUGAUUAUUAUAAGCGAGGCCAUUCCUUUUGUUGGGCUCAAUAGUAGCAACACAAAUUUCUCUCAUCAAAUCAUCUGUUACGCUCUCAAUGAUGCUUUCUCUCCCAAAGAAAAUCUCUUUCUGCUGCAACAAGUCAGUGCCUGUGUGCCCUAAAAAAGUGGACAGGCAGAAUGUGUCUUCAUUUAUUGUUUGUGUUCCAUGCUUUUCUUUUUUCAUCACUCUUUUAGCUAAAACUUAAUUUGUUGCUGGGUCACUUCAGAAGAGUUGGCAAUUAUUUGAUCCACCACAGCUCAUUGUCUUUUCAAACAUAGCUGUAGAUGUAGCCUAGUCAGUACAUCAAAACCACUUCAAAUUAAAAGACAAAUUGCUCGCUUAUUUUCUUUUAUCAAACUGAGUAUGUCAGGAUUUUAAACGAGGUGCUAAUGUUCAGGAACAGACUCAGUCCAAUGAAAUUUCAUUAAUGAGGGCAGCUUCAAUCACAGAACCCAAGAUGAAAUGCAUUUCUUUAAGAAGGAAAAAAACACAUAACUUUCAGCUAUGUCCAUGGCUUGAAGGACUCAUGGGCUAAGAAUUGAAAAUCAUGUUGGCCCUGAAGCAGCACGCUACAUAGCUUCAAGUGGUUGGAAGAAUAUAAAAGUGCAACCAUAAGACUUUUCCUGUGGUAAAAAUGAUGAACACAGCAAACAUGUCUUCAAAACAGUAGCAUCUUGACCUUGUGAUCAUAGAUUAUGCUAAUAAUAGCCUGAAAGACGAUACUAGUAUAUAUGCACGUAUCAUAUUAAAUAGUCUUAUUGCACGUAUAUAUAUAUUUAAAAAUCGGAAUUUGAUCUUCAAAUGUAUUGAGUAACAAGUUAAUACAAAUCAUCAGUAAUCAUCAUAAUAAAUACAUUAAUACAUCACAAUCUGCGUCGACGCCGAUGUUUAAUGGUUUAUGAUUUACAUAUAAUAUAUAUUUAUUUAUGCCUUAUCUUUGUUGUUGUAAUUUCUAUUUAGUUUAAUUAAUUUAAUUGCUGUACUAUUUCAUUUUGUUGCAAUUGGUCUAGAAAUACUCAUAAUCAGCUUCACAGGCCCACAUCUGUCUAAUCUGAAACAGUGCAACACAUACUUACUUACACACAAGACACUCUUUCAUCCCCUCCGGCGAUACGUAACAGGAUCAACGGUACACACUUUGAUGGAGCUUUUGUUCACCUGUUGUCUUCCAGCAGAAAAGAAAAACCAAAGCAGUCUAGUAUCCUGCCAAAGAUGUCUUUCCCUCUGAGGACAUGACCAGACCUCAAGCUUGCAUGCCCCAAAUCACAGUUCAUAUGAAUUAUUCAUGAAUGAAAAAAAAACCCAGCAGAGUGGGGUGAAGAGAGUUGAGAUCCGGCUGCCUGAGAUGUCAUGAACCCAAAUAUCACCCAAUCUUUUCUUGUGUUAAUGGCAUUUGUUGGACUUGGGAGUACAAACAUAAUAUCCAGAAAUGAUUCGGCCAAUUAAAAGUUUUCUUUGCCAGUUUCCCUGCAGAAAUGUCAUUUAGACUAUAUAUUUAGACUCUAACUCGUAUGCACCUCUACUGUUUGUUGAUGAUUUAAUGACGUGUGCAUUGCUCAGUCAGGUAGAGGUGGGAACAGUUACUCCUUUCAAUGGAGUUUGGGGUCCAUAUAAUUAUUUUUGUUAAAGACAAAAUAACAUUAAAUGACAAUGCAUUAAGAUGGGGGGGUGUUUGUGAGUGUGAGAGUUUGUGAGUGUAGUACAGAGAACUAGUUCUGACGUUAAAAUAAAUCCUGUUAAAUUUUCUGAUUAGUGUUUUUCUUUUUUAUAAAUGAUAAUGUUCAAGGAGCAACCUGUACUUUCUGAAGUAUUUUUGCAAUGUGAAUUUGCAGUUCUGUUUUAGAUUAAAGGGUUGGAAAUAAAAGCUUUUUAGUGCCGUUUUUUUUAUCCGAUUCCUUUAAUUUAAUUUAAUUAGAAGUUUGUAUUGUUUUUGUACAUUAAAACAAAUUCUUAGCAAUCGCAACACCCAAACAAGUAGGUGCAAAUAGAGAUGCCAUAAUGAGUAUGUAACUUGGAGAGGUUCGGCAAGGGCUGCUAGGUGACAGACCCCGUCACACAUCACAGUUAUUUUCAAUAAUUGUAACAAAUUAAAAACACAUUAGCAUGCAGAAACUGUAGACAACACUAGCUAGCUAACUAAGCUUAUAGAGUUACAAGAUUAAACUGAAUAAGAAGCAAAUUAUUUGAAAUAGUUUAAAAUUCAUAAUUUAUGGUACAAUAACAAGAACUUUCACAACGGAGUUGAAAUGAGAAAUAAACUAACAUCUUUUGGAGAGCUUCUUUGGAAAGGGAAAAGGCCUCCAUGAGGAGAAACAAGAAGAACCUACAACUUAAAAAUAUCAAGCUUCAUUUAACAGGCAGUAUCAGGAGUCAUGGAUUAUCACAUCAGGUAAUUCCCAUGCGCCAAGUGUGUUAUAUGUAUGUUUCCAGACUGGGAAGUUGCCACCUUUUAGAACAUGAUACAUUAGCAUUCACAGUGCUAGUCAGUCAUGGGUGAGUUGAGGCAGCUGUCUGAUAAUUGAAGUGUGGCAGAACUUCUCCUGUGCUUGUUGAACAUUGAGUACUGUUUCGGAUUUACAUCCCCACACAUGAAACAACCCAUAGUGGCUCCUAGUGCUGAUUGUUUGCUGUGAGGGACAACACAUCACUCACUGUGAUGACGCCAUACGUCAGUACGCCUCUUUCAUGCAACCAUUGAAAGCCCAAUCAAUUGGCAAAGAGAGCCAUAGAACACAACAACAGAUUUACAGCACCAUUAUGUUGAGGAACAAGGCGUCCAUACAACCACACAAGAGACACCAUUUCUUACUAAACAACUAACCAGUCUUCUUAUACCACAUUUGUUUCCUUUUUGGUUCAUCGUAAUGCUCACAUUUCAGUUUCUGCCUUAGGGUUCACUUUGAACCAACUUGAUCACUGAGAAUAAGCCAUAAAUCUAUAUUGAAAUGCAGCCAUUGCCUUUCAGUCUGUAAAUGGGUGUAUUUUCCCAGGUCUCUUAAAGUACAGCCUGGUGAAUUAUAGGAUCCACUGGGCUGUGUUACUCUGGAAGAGCUACCUUGCAUACUGAGCAGACUGAUGAAAUGUCAUAGCCACUGGACAUAUGGCAUCACUUCAUAAAGUGAGAGGCAGACAUGAAACCAAUACAAUGGCCAUUUGGUAUUGCCAACUGCCAAAACAUUAAACUCAUAAAAAAGUUGAAGUUUGACAAACAUAAAAAAGUAUCCUGUUUGUGUUCAUUAGAUUUUUAAACAAAAAACAAACAAAACUGAGACAUAUAACAGUAGGUCUCCAGCUAUGCCAGAAUAUCCUUUUCUAUGAUUAAACUGUAGGACAGGUGGUAGGACAGGACAAGUGUUCUUCUUCAGCUAAAUAAAGUCUUUAAGAAAGCUUAUUGGAUCACCAUCAAAGUUGAAACAGGAUGUUAUUAUUUGUAGAGAUGAGUGCUUCUCGAAUAUCUCUAAAAUCUUUAUACUCUAUAAGAUAUGAUGAUCAUAUAGAUUUCUUCAGCUGACUCAGGAGGAACAACCUCUGCUUAUCCUUCUUGGUAAUGGAGCUGAUGUUCAACUUUACAAUCUAUGUAACGUUGGAAGCAGUCGCCACACACACAUUUUACAUACAAGCUCUGGCUAUCUAGCUGACGCUAAAAGAAUACUAUCUGGCUAAUGCUACAUAACGCCUUUUUAUAGUGGACGGUAACAGCAUAAUUAAUGGUUAUGACGCUAGGUAGAUGGGAUUUUUUACUCUCACAAAAGGGUCAAAGAAGUAUUCUUCAUGUGACAUCACAGAUGUGUACUGCCAGGUUCUGGUUUGUUGGUGUGUUUAUCGCUACUGUAGAAACAUGGCGCUGCAAUGUUUGCAAUGUGUGUGUGUAAAUAUCUCAGCAUGAUGACUACAUUCAAAUUCUUUUUCUAAGUGGCAUCACUCUGUAGUAGUAGAAGAUGGUUGAUCUGCAGCUGAAGAGAAAAGAGAGGCCAAGGAGGAAGUAAAAGGAAAAGUGUCAAGACUUAUAAUGAUUGUGUAAAAGUAAUUUUUUGUUUGGUAGAUCACAUGACUUGGAAGAUUGAAAAGUUUUUUGCGAGCCGAAAAGAUGAUGAACUACAUCCUCAACAUGUGCGUUUUGACAGGAACGCCGGUCUCUCUGCAAUGCCUUACAUGCCUGGUCGGUGUUGACCAUGCCAUGCACAGUUUGAGCCACCACCAGCGCUACUGUUUCACCACUCUGAGGUCUGAGGCCAGUGGUUGAGCAGAAGGUGGCGAUAAUUAUAACAGCCCGAACACUCAAAAGUCAUUAGUCCCUGAUGGAUAUCACACAUCCCAGCGAUGACCUGAUCCUUGGUCACAUAUGAGUGAGGAGAAGAAGGAAAGGAGAGUCUGUGGGGAUGGUCUGUACAGUGUAUUACCGGGGAGUAUAGGGGCAGGGUUCGACAUUUAUUAUUCAGACCUAAUCUUAUAAUACCAUGGACAUUUAAAAAAAGAAAAAAAGUAUCCACAGUCCACAUUUUAAUCACUGUUAGUAAUGUGUGUUUUUCCUGACCUCAUUCUUUAGGCAUGUUUGAAGGCUUUUGGGGGUUCCGAGUCUGUUUUUUUUUACCAUGGGUCGUAUUUUUUUUAUUGUGUCAGAUCUCUAUCUCCUUUCCUGUGUGUGUAAGUGUGAAAGGGCGAUGGGGAAGCAUAAUCCCAGAUAGUCUGUUUGUUCCUACCCUUUAAUACAACCCUCAGGGGCCUUUUAAAAAAAAUGGUAAUUGAAUUUUUUAAUUCAGCAUCCAUCUCUGUAACAAAUGGUAUCAACCCAGACAUUGCAGCAACAAUUUAUGAAGGCAUUAUUAGUGAAGGCAAUUUAUGAAGGAAUUAUCUAACCAUCAUACACUGUUUAAUAAUUUAUUUGGCAAUUCCUUACUUUUAUUUAUUUAUUGACUUCUAGAACAAGUUGAUUUCUGUCUCUUGUGUUCCUCUCUCCUGCCCCCUGAUUUCAUGUUCCUCUCAAUCCACUGUUCAGCUGAAGGAGGCUCAAGGCCAAUAUGUGACAGAGCCAUGUAAUAACUAAUCACCAUAAGGUGUGACAAAAAAUCUUGUGAUUAACUCUUUGAGCCAGAUGAAGUCUACUUUUAGCAUUUAAUACAUUUAUGUUUGCAUUGGUUCGUUAAGUUAACAGCACAAACAUCGUUUUAGUGUUUUGUCUUUUUUUUAUUUUUAUUUAUAAAACAUGGAAAACAAAUUGUUCUAAAUUUGAAAAACAGCUUCAGGUCUUUUGGCUGAGUUUUUACAACUCCCACAAAGUAGAUGAAUUCCUUUAGGCUGGACUGAGGCAGGUUUCAUAGCAGCUUUUGCAGUCUGCCAAUCCUGUAGCUGCCGUAUUAAAUCCUCCCACACAAAACCAGAUUGAUUACUCUGGUUGGUGGAGAAGCUCCAAGACAAAUCUUUACUCUUUCAGUGGUUGACAUUGACUGACCAAUGUAUGCUUUUUUGUAAAAGCCAAUGUACCAGUCUGACUCUAUGUGAUGAAUCAUAUAGUGUGUUUACAUGAUGAUGUAAUUCGAAUCUUUGCUUAGUCGGACCAUGCUAUCUUUCGGAGCAAGUGCUAUUAUCCCUAUAUACAUGGCAGUGAAUAAAUCAAAUCAUUGGCCGAAAGCAUGUCAAAUACGAUACGAUAGGUGGCGUUGUUUUCAUUACAACUAGUUGUGAUACAGCCAUUUCCGCUUGACCUCUCACCACUACCAACAACAACCAACAACAUCAACAUUACGAGAAAGAUGGCGAACGGAGAGUAAGGUGAAGCUACAUCCCUCUACUAUUUGUGCAUGAUGUUAAUAGGAGUACAGCGAAUGCGAAUGGCGCUAUUGGCUGAUUUGAUAACUGAGAUAAGACGCCGUUGGGAUCUCAAGCAUGCGCAAAGACGCAAAGUCCAGUUCCUUAUCCAAUUCACCGUUACAUGCCGCAAUAGUCAACUAUCAACUGGAUUGGAUCGAGUUAUCCAGGGGUAAUAGUCGGAUCGUAGUCGGACCGCACAUAGUCGGACAAAGGAGUUUACAUGAAACGGGUAAUUCGAUUUCAGUCCGACUAAGCCAGUUAUUCGAAUCCAUGUAACCACGCUAAUAGGUGCUGAGGUGAGCUAAGUUGAGUUAGUUUUUUUUCUGGACUGCUCACAGUACUGUCCCCUAAUCCCUAGUUCAUUGCCAUACCGGUCAGCACCUUGUCUCCCCAGAAAGCCCCAUCUCCAACACCACCCACACAACAGCUGUGUGGUGAAAGCAAGAGAGAAAACAAGGAAGAAAAUUGGGAAGACACUGAGAGGGAUACAAAAUAGUCAAUUAACAGAAGGGAAAGAGUGCAUCAGGAAACGGGAGGCAUAUGCACAAAAGCAGACGUAGCGAAUAACGUGAUGCAGCAGGGAUAGCAUCAAGAGUACAAAUGAAGGGAAAUGUAAACAAUUUAAAAAGAGGAAGAGGGCAUAUGGUGAAAGUGGUAAUUGCUUGGUUCAGAUAGUUGGGUCUGAGGCUAGGCAUAGAGGCUUGUGAGAUGGGCUCCUCAGGGCGCUUGGAUGCCCCACGUAGGAAAAGCUAACAUUCUAUUGCCACUUCCCUGAUGCCCGGGCCUUGACCUACCAAAAACGUCUCUCAAUUAGGUGAUUUGUCUGCGGAAAGCAAAAAAGGCUGACGAUGGCAAGGUCUCCUCCAGAGGGCUUGGGGGAAAUAGAAAUACACUGUUUACUGGAACACCAGUUACUGCCUUAGGUGUGAUAGACCUCUCUGCUGUUCUCUAUCCCUGACCCCAUCCUCUUUUUCUCACAAACACACUCUAAAUUCACUGCUACACAUUCUCCCCCUGCCUCAUCCAACUCCAAAGGGUGUCCAAUUUACAUUGUUGCAUGGGGUGUUAAACAUUUCAGAGUACACGCACAAGCAGAUACGCUUGUGAGGUGGAAGAGGCUGAGGUUUCACACAUUGCCUGUUGUGGAGGCUUUUCCCAGCCAAGCCAUGAAAUGGGAUAUUGUGUUGUGCCAAACCCAAGCGUGUCUGCGUUACAGAGUCUGAAUCUUGAUGCGGGCACAUAUUCGUGUGUUUUCACUUCUAAAAUGUGCCCGAGGGUCCAUGUGAGAAUUUACAUUUUCAUCCGAAAUUCCUCAUAGUUCACCAUUGUGACAAGAUAUUCAUAUUAUUAGCCUGUCAUGUCUUGACUCCCCACAAAACAAAGCUGCGGGAGCGGUAAUGACUGUGACCUUUAAUGUCCGUGUGGAAGUGCCGAAGCAUGCUGUAGUAACCCAUGACUUCCUCACUCACAUGAUCUUUUUAUGUAAUUAAGAGGGUAUGUGAAUAGUAAUUUAAUAACCUAAAUUAUUGCUGGAGUCAAUACAUCACAUUGUGAAAGGCUGCUUGUACUACUGCACCAAAACACAAAAUGAAGGGUUACAAACUGGGGAUUGAUGUUACAAGAACGCAGCCUUGGGGGGAACCGGUGCUGAGAGAGAUGUUCCCCCAGCUUCACGUGCUUCUUCCUGUCAGACAUGAAGUCUGUGAUUCACUUGCAGGUGGAGUCUAGCACGUGCAGCUCAGAGAGUUAGUCCUGCAGCAGAGACGGGAUGAUGGUGUUGAAAGCAGAACUGAAGUCAACAAACCGGAUCCUGGCAUAGGUUCCUGGGGAGUCCAGAUGCUGGAGGAUGAAGUGGAGGGCCAUGUUGACAGCAUCGUCUACAGACCUGUUAGCUCUGUAGGAGAACUGCAGGGGGGUCUUGAACGUCUUGAAUGUCUGUGAACACCGGAUCAGCACAAUGCUUCAGGGUGGGGGGGAGACCGAGUCCGGACUGGCUGCUUUAUGAAGGUUUUGUCUUUUAAAGAGCCUGUUCACAUCUCUCCCCCGAAUAGAGAGGGUGGUACAGUUUCGAGCAUAUAGUUUCUCUCACCGCCUUCCUAAACCUGUAAUUUGACUGAGUACAAGACCUUUCCCCACUUCUAAAUGCCUGAUCCUUCCCACAUCCCAGUCUGUGCAGUCAAAGCACGCCCGAGGAUCCUCCAGCACCUUACUGGUCCACUUCUUGAAUUCCCUCACCACAGGUUUGCAGAGCUUUAGCUUUUGCUUGUAUGCAGGAAUCAGAUGGACCAUGACGUGGUCAGAGUGUCCCAGUGCAGCACGAGGGACGGCGUGAUAGGCCCUGCUUACUGUUUAACAGUGAUCCAGCGUGUUCUCCUCUCUGGUAGGGUAUUUAAUGAACAGUUUGGGAACUCUAGGGAGUUCAUGGCUGAGGUUUCCUUUGUUAGAGUCCCUGAGGACAAUAACUAAAGAGUCCGGGUUGGUCCGCUCCACACGCCGUAUCUGGUCGGCGAGUGUCCGCUGUGCUUCGUGCACGUUGCCCGCCCGGCGACAUGUAAACACCAACCAGGAUGAAUGAACAAACUCACGGGGGGGAGUAAAAGGGUUUGCAGUUAAUGAUGAAGGAUUCCAGUUUAUAUAUCAAAUGUUGGUUACGCAAACUUUUUUGUCUCACUGUUAUGCUUUUUUUCAUAUUAUACUUUUUGCACUGCUAACCACGGUGAAGCAGCAAAAGCUGAACGGCUGCAUAGGCUGAACCGAGCAGUCUGAAAUGAGACAGUUUAGUUUGCUUGUGUCCCCAGCUUUUUCUCUGCUGCUUCUGUUGCCUACCAACCUGCUGCGCUUGACAGUGAAAGCCUUGUAACUGUAAAAAUGCAGCCAUCGUAGUCUGCUUUCUAUCUAAUUUAAUUUAGGAAGUUAUGCUUUGGAUGAAUGCUUGACGUCCGGAGCAUGAUACAUCUCAGGCUGAGAUGAAAAUGUUACGGUAAUUUUUAAUGAAAUUAAAUUGGUGAAGCUAAAAGUAAUAUUGCAAUUACUCAAAAGAGAGGAAAUCAACUCAGUCAAUAAAACAAAGCAGUAAACACAUUUGGUAACUUCUAUGCACAGACUAGCAUAGGAUACAAGCUAAUAAAAUUGUAACCUUCAAAUAUUACAAUAUAUUUACGGUUACAGACACACAUUAUUCUCCCCUCCACCUGAACUAAGUUGAUUUCUUCUGUCUACCUAAAACAAAACAAAAUGUAUAGUUGGUUUAUAAUCACACCACAGUUACAAUAAUCACACCUAAUAUUUUAGGUUGAUAACUUGUCAACUUCAGAUAAUUUUCAUCCAUUACGGUUACAUAAUAUGAAGUAUAUAUUAUCUAUAAAACCGUCACUACCUCAGUAAGGCAUUGGUCAACCUAGUGUGAAGCUUAAGGCAUUAACUAAACUUAACUUUUCACUAAUAAUUAUGGUCAGAUGCGGGCAGACGAGCUGCCGUUAACAGUGCAGCAGGUCCAGGUUGGUACAUUGAUGUUCCAACACAUAUUGAAAGGAUCUGGUGACAUUUGGUGGUUUCUUUCAGUGUUGAUUAAAUCCGAUGUUAGUAAAAAAGCUGGUUAAAGAAGAAUAUAGGAUGCAAUCAUUCACUUUAAUAAAAUCUGUUAAUAUCUAAUCAUUGAACAAUUGUUCUGGACAAAGGAUGCAUUCUGUGAAUGUAAUGAACAGUAUGUUUAUAAUAAUUGCUGAAUGGAAUGUAGAUGCUGUUUGUAGUAUUGGAAGGAAAAUGUAUUUAACAAUGUAUGUGUAUCUAUAAUUAGGUAUUUUUACAUACAGAAAAAAUAAGGACCACAGCAACACAAUCCAGAUUACGCAGAAGUACUGAGUUGUGGGAAACUUAAGUAGGUAAUAAGUAAGACCUUGAGGUAUUAAACUAUUUCUACCUAAAGAUUGUAUUUAAGAAACACAUUUGUUUUUAUAAUCUUUAAGUUGUAACAUCUGGUACGGAUAUCAUUUUGCCAAGUCUAGCAAAAUAACUUUUACCAUGAAGAAUUACACUUAUUAUUCUGAAUAAAUCAAGAAAAACAUUGUGUAUUUAUACAAGUGUUUUAUGAAGGUUUGUCUUAUUAUUUCUUCGGCUCUAGUAAAGGGAUGCUAUCUGUGCUGGGUCUACAGGCAAGGCAGACAUUCAUAUGAAGCUGAAUGAAGUGGAGAAAAAAAUGCACAUGUGGACAGGCAGAAUAGGAUCAAGACCACUGACUGAAUUCUCCCUUCAGCUUGAUCCCUGCUAUUCCCCAGUACUGAGAGUCGCUUUCCACAGCCUUAUCUUUUCAGCCACUUGUACCUCGCCGACAAAAUUUCAAAUCCCAGUCAUACCUAGAGGCGAGGCAGCCAGCACUAACGCUUCACGCCAUUCAACAUCGGUUUCCUAGCAACCUUCUCUGCUACCUUCUGGAUAAAAAUCGGUUCCUGUGGCUCUCCAUGAGUGUAAGCAUGAAGAGCAGGCGUGAAUGCCUCUGUAAUUAUCUGGAGCAGAACAGGUCACAUUCCGUUCGGAGGACUAUUUCUAUGUGGUUAGAUAACAACGUUUUGAUCAUUUAAAAGUGAUGUCUAAAUGAAAAUAAAAGACGGUUGGCAUUUAAUAUGCACAAACGUGGCCGCUGCCAUCUGCUUCGAGCAUAACUCAUAAGCGGGAUUGGUGAUAUAUUUUCCACCCACAAGCCCCAGAAAAUUGUAGUGUUGAUAAAACGCUGAGGACCACUGAGUGGUCAGAGGGAACCACCACUAACAUUGCGGUAAGUUGCAACUAAAUGCUGAACACUAUGCUGUUUACUAUGUACACUAGGCUUUACACCAGGGGUCUCAAACUCAUUUCAGGUGCGGGCCAGAUGCAGCCCACUUCGACCGAACGCGGGCCAGACUAUUAUGAGCCAGGGGGGCGGCGCUGACUGUAUGCCAAAGUCGGUGCCCCACGGGCUGCACCGAACGCCCUGGCGGCGCGGAGUUUGAGAGCCCUGCUUUACACCAAGUACACUAUACACUGUGAAGCAACCUGCACAGCGUCCAUUAAUGGAACACCUCGUCAGGCAUUAACCUUUACAUACUGCACUUUACCAUCCAGUCUAUGAGAAUACAGUACAUUCACUAUUUCAUUAUUUGUAUGAUUAAUUUAGUUCACUAUUUGAGCUCAAACACUCAUUCAUUUCAUAUUUAUAUAUAUUUAUUACAAAAAUUGCUGUACAUUUUACCAGCUUUGGAUUCAAGGUUUUAUUAAAAAUAAUUGUAUUUAAUGUUUGUAUUUUUACUGUUUAUUCAUUCUGAUUUAAAUAUGCAAUAUGUGUGUUAUUCUAAUUCUUUAGACGUUAAGAUGACAAAUGUAAAAGUUACGCAUAAUCAAAAAAAAUGGUAGAAUAAGCAGUACUUUUACAGUCUAUCCAUUGCGGACGACAAGCAAAAAACCCAUGUUGCCCAAGCGCACUUCAAUCCUGUUUUCUUCAACAUGUAAGGCAAAAAACACCACUGUUGUCCCUUUGAUAUGUUAUUAGCAUAACAUAUUUAUGUGCAAACAUGGGCCAAUUAACAUUGAGAUAUUACUGGACAUUUGCACAGCUAAGUUAAAAGCUUAAUCCCUGCAAAGUCAAAAUGAAAGGAUACUGCGAUUUGAACAACCGGCACGUUGCUGUAAUAAAGCACGAAAAGUCGUCGGCUCACAUCCAGUGUCCGAUUUCCUGAAAACCUUUGGUAAAGCUAUGAUUGACUUUGCACUUGAAGAGAAAAGGAGGUUGAACAUAACUUACCACAAUGAACUCACUGUGAGCAGCCCUAAUAAACAAUGCUUAGUAAAAAAAUUACUAACCAGCUUUUGAUCUCCUUCUUAAUACCUCAUUUUUUGUUAUUUUAUUUAUGUGUAUUUAUAUUAUGUGUAUCCAUUGUUUUGCUUUGAAAGGCUACUGUUUGAGCACUGUAACCACUUUAUUUGUUGCACUUUUUUGUUUGAUAAUGAAUAUUUUUCCCUAUGGCGUGAGGACGUGAGUCCUCCCGUCUCCGGUGCUUGGACGAAACAUAACAGGAAACACCCCAAACCAAUCCUUCGAUGGAAAAAGGAAAGGAAGAAAGAAAUAGAGGGAUUCUUGUCUCAGGAUGGACAGAAGUGUAAUAGAUGGCAUGUGUACAGAAUGAACAAUAUCAUUGAAUUACAACUAAUUAAAUCCAUAUGAUAUAAAUCAUGUAACAGUAGUUGCAGUCAAAAGCACUAAUCAUAGCUGAGGGGAUAUAAUAUUAUAACAGUGAAAAUCCACCCGAAGGCAAAUGCCUUCAGCGCUAUCUUUGAUGUAGUGCAACAACUCCAGUUGACUUCACCGGAUGCACCAAACUUCAUCAUGGGUCAUUUUAACUAGACUCAAUUUGAACAGAUAUCAAUGUGUCCGUUGUCCAACCAGUAAGGAUAAGACUAGAUCUGUGUUAUGGGUUAGUAAAGAAUGCUCAUAAAUCACUCCCAAUACCCCCACUGGGCUACGCAGAUCGAAAGUGUAUCUAGGUGCUGCCCUUAUUUAAAAAGGUGUUGGAGAGAAAAAAGACUAACGAGGACAUAAAAGACAGGACACAAGAAUCUGUGCUCUGCCUGCAGGAAUGUUAUGGCUGCACUGACUGGGACAUGUUUAACCAGUCAUGAUUUAGAUUAACUUAUUGAUGUAACAUGCUCAUAUGCUACUGUAACCGGGGCGGCCGUUCGCCUGGUCACAAGGGUGACAACGUCACUUUGGGACUCUCACCCAAAGUAUAUCAGUUGUAAUGAAAAAGAAAGGGAGCAGAGAGGUGAAGUUCCAGUUUUGUAACAAUGUUUCUUUUAUUUACAAGUAGGUUUAAUAUUUAAAAGAAAAGGAAUAAUCAAUCCAGAAACAUUGGUCGGUUUUAUGGCAAAAUAUAAUCUAUGCUUUGAAAAAGGAUUACUAUACUGGGGUACCCUACCAGUACAAGGUGACUACUUGAGGCCCACCGGGGCGGGGGAGUGAAAGGUGACAAGGGGGCCACCACCAGGUCAAAGGAAAGAAAACACAGCAAAUCAAAAAGAAUUAAAACACAGCAAACAAACAAAAUAAACUGAAAGGGCCUUCCACCUCGUGAGCCACCCCCUGUAGGCCUACUAUAUGCCCACCUGCACUGGCAUUAAAGGGACCCCCAGUAUAGGGCGCAGUAAUGGUUGUUUAUGUAGGACAAAACAAAGACACUAACCCAGAAAGAAAACAAAUUAGCAAUUCAUAAUCAAAGAUACUAUAUAAACCGGGUAACCAUAAUCUAUUUUAAAUCAAAGGCAAAAACAGCAGUGACCAGGCUCAGCGUUGCACCACCUGAUCAUUUCCUGUAUAAAAGAAAGAAAAGGUAAAUAACGCCAAUAAACAUUUCACUGCUAAAAAGCAUAUUAAAACAUGAAACAGA
ensembl:lncRNA